rnacentral:lncRNA from 10 species
UUGGAACAGAUGUAUUUGUCCAAUGCCUGUACCCAUUUUAUCUAGGAAGUAACCACUUGCUUUUGAUUUUACAGGCUCAUAGGUGGAAUGGACUUGCCUUGUCUCAGAUGAGACUUUGGACUUGGACUUUUGAGUUAAUACUGGAAUGAGUUAAUAUUUUAGGGGACUGUUGGAAGGGUGUGAUUGUGUUUUGAAUUGUGAGGACAUGAGAUUUGGGAGGGCCUAGUGGUAGAAUAUUAUGGUUUGGCUGUGUCCCCACCCAGAAUUUCAUCUUGAAUUGCAAUAAUCCCCAUGUGUCAAGGGAUGACCACGUGGAGAUAAUUGAAUCAUGGGGGUGGUUCUCCCCAUCCUGUUCUUGUGAUAGUUAGUUCUCACGAGAUCUGAUGGUUUUAUAAGAGGCCCUUUGGUGGGCACUCAUUCUUCCCCAUUCUACUGCCAUAAGAAGAAGGACAUAUUUGCUUCUCCUUCUGCCAUGAUUGUUAAUUUCCUGAGGCCUCUGCAGCUCUGCAGAACGCCUUGAUAUACUUGGAUAUUUGACCCCACGCAAAUCUGAUGUUGAAAUGUAUUCCCCAAUAUUGGAGGCUCAUGAGUGAAAGGAGAUGAGUCUCAGAUGAGACUUUGGACUUGGACCUGGAACAUUUAAGUUAAUGCUAGAAUGAGCUAAGACUUUGGGGAACUAUUUGGAAGGCAUGAUUGUAUUUUUCAAUGGGAGAGAAACAUGAUAUUUGAGGGGCCAGGGGCAGAGUAAUAUAGUUGGAUAUUUGUUCUUACCCAAAUCUCAUGUUGAAAUGUUAUCCCCAAUGUUGGACAUGGGGUUUGGUGGGAGGUGAUUGGAUUACGGGAGCAGAUCCCUUAUGAAUGUCUUAGUUCUUAUAAUAGUGAGUGAGUUAUCAUCAGAAAUGUUAUUUAACAGUGUAACACUUCCCCCCAUCUUGCUACUGCUUUUGCCAUGUGAUGUGCCCUAUCCUGCUUCACCUUUUGCCAUGAGUAAAAUCUCCCUGAGGCCUCUUAAGAAGCUGAGCAGAUACCAGUCCAUGCUUUCUGUACAGCCUGCAGAACUGUA